UCGUGGCGUGAGUCGUCUGCUUAAUUGCGAUAACGAGCGAGACUCCCACUGUUAAAUAGUCAAAGGUUCACUUCGACCUUAUGACUUCUUAACUGGAUCCGGGCCAUCAAGGUCCAAGAAAUGGAGCAAUAACA
rnacentral:rRNA from 1 species